GGUCGUCUGAGGCGGGCUGGCACCUCCCGGGGUGGCCAGCCCUUGCUGGAUUAUUCCACCCGUGUCUUUUGCGUACUUCUUGUUUCCUUGGUGGGCUCGCCCACCACAAGGACCAACCCAUAAACCUUUUUGCAAUGGCAAUCAGCGUCAGUAACAAUGUAAUAAUUUACAACUUUCAACAACGGAUCUCUUGGUUCUGGCAUCGAUGAAGAACGCACCGAAAUGCGAUAAGUAGUGUGAAUUGCAUAAUUCAGUGAAUCAUCGAAUCUUUGAACGCACAUUGCGCCCUUUGGUAUUCCAAAGGGCAUGCCUGUUCGAGCGUCAUUUGUACCCUCAAGCUUUGCUUGGUGUUGGGCGUCUUUUUGUCUCCCCUUGCGGGAGACUCGCCUUAAAGUCAUUGGCAGCCGGCCUACUGGUUUCGGAGCGCAGCACAAGUCGCGCUCUCUUCCAGCCCCAAGGUCUAGCAUCCACCAAGCCUUUUUUUUCAACUUUUGACCUCGGAUCAGGUAGGGAUACCCGCUGAACUUAAGCAUAUCAAUAAGCGGGAGGAAGGAAUUUCUCCCAGGACGCCGUAGUUGACCAGCGCCGAGAGAAAUCAACUCACUCUAAAGAGAUAUUAUUGUUAUCCUCAUAAUCAUGCGAUAACGAGUCAAAUAUCAUCAGAACCAACAAAGCCAGCAAUAGAACACAAAACAACAUAAAGGCCGCGGUGAAGGGAGUAUUACCGUAGAGCCCCGCACCCCCCGUAGAAUAUGCUC
rnacentral:rRNA from 1 species